rnacentral:lncRNA from 1 species
AUGAGGCACAGAAUCCUGUGUACAAACAUCCACAGCAGCUUUCUGUGUCACAGCCCCACAGUGCAAACAUCCCCAAUGUCCCCUGCCAGGCGUGUGGUCCUGUCCACCGUGCAGCCGCAGCACCGACUGGGUGCAGCUUCCAGAUGGGAAGCAGCAGACUGCUGGCCCCACAGGAGGAUGCCGAGCAGAAGGUUUCUCCAGGUGAAUCUGAGUAACUUUGUUGGAAAAGAACACAUUUCCCCAGACAGUCGCAAAACCUCCAGUGGCCGAAGUGAGUGGUUCUCCAUCCCGGCCCUGGAGACCACGGUGCGCCUCGGUGGAACUCUGUCUAGAAGGGCGACACGUAAUCCGAGUGUUACAGGAAGGGGCAGACCGCCAGCGCCAUGAAUAUGGAAGCCCGGCCACCAAGAGGGUGCAAGGGGCCUGUCGAAAUGCUAGGGCCAUGAAUAAAAGCAAUUUCCUGACCACGUACGUUGCCAAAGGUUAACAUUUGUGCAGCCGUCCAGUGUUUGCUGAGCUCAGGGGCAUUGUCCCCGGGAGCCUCCUGAGACCCACAAGAGCCUGUUUCUCAGCAAUUCAAACUUGAACGCGUCUGCGUUUGCAUGGUCUCAUUAGGGUGGCUCCUCUGGGUGUCCUGUUCAAGCGUCAUGACGAACACUGUCACAACUGUCUCCCUGGGUCUGGGGUGGGGGGUCUGCAUUGUAGUGCAGAGGCUCUGCACUGGGCGGGAAGGGUCUGUGAGGUCCCCUGACCCGUCCAGUCCCACCGCCAGCCUGCCCUGGGGCCUGAGCACGAGGGCAGCUGGGAGCGGCUGAGAGGAGCCUGCACAGGGUGCCACCAAGCCCUGUGGCUCCCAUUUCUGCCCUCCUUUCGUGGACUGUGGUUAGGAGGGAGCUGAGUGGGGUUUUUUUGCCUGUGGUGGGGACAACAGGAGCCCGAGGACCUGAAGGAGAAACCACAGCCUGGGGUCGAGGAGGUCAGGUCUGGGGGCAGUACUGCCGCUGCCUGCUGGCUGCUCACUGGCCGGGCCUGUCCUCUGGGGCUGCUUGUGCCCGCACCCCCCGUGGCUCAGUGGGGCAGCCCUGCUGGCCCUUCACCCCGUGUAUCGUGCACAUUCUCCACCCUGCUCCCUGCACCCCCUCCGGGCUGAACCCCCC